ACCAAAAAAAUGAAUCCGACCCUUGAACUAAGACAAUUAACAAUUAAAAUAGAAAAUAGUAAUCACCUCACUAUUGUUUAAUGAUGGAGAUUUUAGUUUUUUAAAGUGAAAAUAAUUGAUUUUGUUAGGGUAUUAUAGUUGAUGACUUUGUAUUUGGUUGGCUUUGCGACGGUAAUGAUUUUUCUUUUCUUUUCUUUCUGAUAGUAAAGAAGUUUUUUCGUGUAGAAAACUAGCCAGUAAAUUUGUUUGUCCAAGAAACCUUAUAAAUCAAAAGUACUAUUCCCAAUAAAUAAAGCUUAAAAAAAAAAAUUUCUGGUCCAAUCUCAUGUCAUUUGGCCUAAUUUUAUCGGAAUUUAUAUUUUCUAGUUUGUUAUCUUUUAUCAUAACCAAGGUCGUAGCCAUGAACUCGACCUGAGCUUCAAUGGACCGCGUCCGCGGCUUCCCUCUUAGGCGAAGUGUCUACGUCUUAGAAUUUCUACAGUUUGAUCGAUUUGUUGUCUGAUAAUGAACUGCAGACCACCUGUUCGACGAAAAGCCUGACCCAUUUGAGCACCAGCGGAGGAGAUGUUGAUUCCGUCAUUCUGAUAACGUACGAGUUCUGGAUAUUGGGUUUCGGGUUCCCUGCAUACACACUCAAUCACUCAUUUGAGCUGUGGAGUUGAGCCAAACAGUUAUUGAGAUGCUGGAGGAGACUAGAAAAUGUUUCUUGAAGAUCUUUUUCAUCCAUGUACGUUCUGGUGAUCGUCAAAUUGAGACAAGGGAGAUAAGCUCAAUGUUUUUCUUUUCUUUUCACAAGCUUACAAGGAAUUUGAAGUGCUUUUGGGUGGAAUGGGGCUUUAGUCUGUUUGGUCGCAUGAAAAUUGAUUAUACUUUUGUAAUCAUGCUAAAUUAAACGAAC